rnacentral:lncRNA from 1 species
AAUUAUUCCAAAUAUCAUCUCCAUAGGGAUUAGGCUAUUAACCUAGGAUUAAGUAUUGUUUCGAGGUAUUAACCAAGGGAUAAAUACUGUUUCUAUACCUAAGAUAUUUCUAGUUAAUCGAAAAGCUUUGUUUUCUAAUUAUCCUACUUGAAAUUAAACAUUAUUGAAUAUUAAAAAUCUAACUACUACAAAUAAUGAAAAAAGUGACAUCUAAAUAAAUAUUAAAACUUACUAAAUCUGGAAAUUGCUAAUAAUAGAAACUUUCGAAAAAUGAAACUUUAAACUGAAAUUAACUAAAACAUGAAAUAAAAACUAACCAAAGCCAAACAACUAAACACAAUAAAAAGAUGAAUUUAAAUGCUUUCAAAAGUAAAAUUAAACUACAACUUUAAAUGCAUGAAAUGAAAUUUAUGUUCCUAAGUGACCUACUUACCUAAAUGCUACUCUAAUAUGCUUGAAAUGUAAAUGAACAUAAGAAUAAAUUGUACUAACAUAAAAUAGACUUAAAAUGAAACAAAUGACAUAUAUGAACUUAUAUGAGAACACCAAACUAAUGGAAGCAAAAUGGCAUGCAAAACUAAAACAUAAAAUGCAAGCUAAAUGCAACCUAUGAUUUAAGAUGCUAUACAAAUAUGAAUUAACCUAAAAGAAUUGUAAAAGCUGAGCUUAAGGGCAUAAAAUAGACUUCAAAAUAAAACAAAAACAUGUUGGAAAUGAUUUUCUAAAAACAAGUAGAAUUAACAGAAAAAAGUAGACAAAAUUAGUAAUGAAAUAUAAUCUAAACUAAUGACCUAGUAAGCUAAAUGCUAGCAAAAGUGAAAAUAUGUACUUGCUACAUGAAAACUAAAAAUGCAAAAUCAAAGUAGACUACAAAAUAAAAGAAAAAUGUGUAGAAAAUACCAAG